rnacentral:lncRNA from 1 species
UGAGUUGCAAAGACCCUAUUUUCAAAAAAAGUCAUGUCCUGAUCUUUGAGUAAACAUGAAUUUCAGAGGGGCAUUCCAGUACAAGCGGUAACUAGGGAAUUUUUUUUGAAGAUUUAUUUUUAUGUAUGUGAGUGUACGUUUUUCUGUGCAUAUGGAUGGCUAUGCACACUUGCAUACCCACACAGCCCAGAGUAGGGAUCAGAUCCUCUGGAACUGGAGUUACAGGAGGAUGUGAGCUAACCAGGUGGAUGCUGGGAAUCAAACUCAGGUCAUUCCCAAGAGACCUGCUAACCCAUCUCUCCAGUCUGAAAAUUGAUACACCCGUACAAUUUUGGUUUUGAGAUACAGACCCUUGCUACAUAACCCUGGCUGGCCUAGACCUCCCCACAUAGAGCAAGCUGGCCUCAAGAUCUAACUGCCUUCCUCUGCCUCUGAGUGCUGGGAUCGUAUCUAUGCCACCACACCCUG